AUGUCGGAAAUUGGGGUGAUUAUUGUCGAUAUGGACAAUAAUAAUAACAUGGAAAAUUUCGAGGCUCCGGCUGAAGAACCCCCUAUCUUGCAUACUAAAAAGUUUCAAAUCGGUAGUGGUAACAUCAUUGGAAAGGGUGUUAUUCAAGAUUUCUUUACUUGUGCUGGUGCUUUACCCUCCAUGGGUGGUUCUAUUCUUCAUAGAACUAGUAGUCUUGCGGAUGCCAUCGCUAUGCUUGUAGUUGAGCUUGAAAGACAAUUUAUGCAUAUGCAUCCUUACAUACAAAGAAUUUUUCUGGAAUUUCCCAAUAUUGAGCAUUCUUCUAUUAAACGCGUUGUUACUAUCUUUUUGGUUCAUGAGUUUAGAUUUAUCAUAAGAGAGGCCAAAGAAAUCUUUGCGCACUAUAGGGUGGACGCCGGUCGUCCUCCCAUAGAGGUGAUCCUCUAUGAUCAAGAGGAAUUUAGGCGUUUUCAAUCUUCGGACUAUGUUGCUUUCAAUAAAAACCUUAGAAAAAAGGUUCCUACCAAUGUCUUGGUUGAUAGCAUUAACGAGCUUAAUAAUGAUUUUGCCCUUCGAAACAAUGAGCUAGGAUACUCUCUUGAGUAUAAGCUCACAAGAUUUUGCCAAAAGAAUGCUUUUAGUGAUGAAUUAGUUGUGCACUAUGAAGGUCCAAAGGAGGAACCCGUUCCUCCUGAGAUUGAUCUUGGGGACUUUUGUCGCGCUAAAUUUAGCCCUUUCGAUUACUUUUGCUUGCCUCAAAGAAAACUUUCAGCCGAAUGUAGAGAAUAUGAGAUGAGUUUUCAAGAUCUAUUUUAUUAUUAUGGCACUACUUAG
rnacentral:rRNA from 1 species